CUCACGCCGCCCGGCCCGGCCCGGCUCCCUCGGCGCUGCACAAGUCGAUAGGCGCGGGGAGAAGUGAAGAUGAGCCCAAGGAUUUCUGGUUGUGCUGUUUGCAUGCUCGCCAUCUUCACCAAUGGCAGCAUCUCAACCCAGUCUUGAUGCUCAAGUUCUAGAGCAUCUGCUAGACCUUCUUCCAGUCUGAAGACUGCAAAGGAAACAAAGAACAACUUUGAAAUAAACAAAUGUCCUUUGAAUUUCUCUCCCCUCAACAUGUUCAAACCUUGGGGAAUUCAAUGCAGUGAGACUAUAGCGGAAUGAAACAUACAUGCAUAUAUGUAUAUCUCUACACAUACAUACACACACACAUUUUUUCCUUGCUAUAAGCACCAUAAAAAGCAAUGUCUGUGCAGUAUGUGCACAUGAAUGCAUAAUUGUAUAUAUCAGUUUAUAUGAUUGCAUAUAAAUGCGUAUAUAAAGAAGACCCCUGUCUGCAGAGCAUGCAAUGUGUUUAUUAUUUCAGAGGCUUUCACAUCAUCUUUAAAAUCUAGCUGACUGUAGAAUGAAACCCAUCAGGGUAACGCAGAGGUAGAGACUGAAAUUAAUUUAAGGCAGACAAAAAGCAAAUACAGAGGAACUGUUACGAUUUAACUAAUUUUUAAAAGUAAGUGGACUGAAAAUAUAAAAUGUAUUUGUG